GCCUGGUUAGCUCAGUUGGUAGAGCGCUCCACUUGUAAUGGAGAGGUCCCGGGUUCGAUACCCGGACCAGGCG
rfam:Ixodes scapularis strain Wikel colony gcontig_1108379486245, whole genome shotgun sequence.